GAUUUUAGCAUGGAAUAAUGGAAUAGGACGUUGCGGUCUAUUUGUUGGUUUCUAGGACCGCCGUAAUGAUUAAUAGGGACAGUCGGGGGCAUCAGUAUUCAAUUGUCAGAGGUGAAAUUCUUGGAUUUAUUGAAGACUAACUACUGCGAAAGCAUUUGCCAAGGAUGUUUUCAUUAAUCAGUGAACGAAAGUUAGGGGAUCGAAGACGAUCAGAUACCGUCGUAGUCUUAACCAUAAACUAUGCCGACUAGGGAUCGGACGGUGUUAUUUUUUGACCCGUUCGGCACCUUACGAGAAAUCAAAGUGCUUGGGCUCCAGGGGGAGUAUGGUCGCAAGGCUGAGACUUAAAGAAAUUGACGGAAGGGCACCACCAGGGGUGGAGCCUGCGGCUUAAUUUGACUCAACACGGGGAAACUCACCAGGUCCAGACACAAUGAGGAUUGACAGAUUGAGAGCUCUUUCUUGAUUUUGUGGGUGGUGGUGCAUGGCCGUUCUUAGUUGGUGGAGUGAUUUGUCUGCUUAAUUGCGAUAACGAACGAGACCUUAACCUGCUAAAUAGCCCGUAUUGCUUUGGCAGUACGCUGGCUUCUUAGAGGGACUAUCGGCUCAAGCCGAUGGAAGUUUGAGGCAAUAACAGGUCUGUGAUGCCCUUAGAUGUUCUGGGCCGCACGCGCGCUACACUGACGGAGCCAGCGAGUACUUCCUUGGCCGAAAGGCCCGGGUAAUCUUGUUAAACUCCGUCGUGCUGGGGAUAGAGCAUUGCAAU
rnacentral:rRNA from 1 species